UACGUAGGGGGGCUAGCGUUGUCCGGAUUUAUUGGGCGUAAAGAGCGUGUAGGCGGCCAGGUAGGUCUGCUGUGAAAACUCGAGGCUUAACCUCGAGAUGUCGGCGGAAACCAUCUGGCUAGAGUCCGGAAGAGGAGAGUGGAAUUCCUGGUGUAGCGGUGGAAUGCGCAGAUAUCAGGAGGAACACCUAUAGCGAAGGCAGCUCGCUGGGACGACACUGACGCUGAGACGCGAAAGCGUGGGGAGCGAACAGG
rnacentral:rRNA from 1 species